rnacentral:rRNA from 1 species
UGUUGUGCGAAGGUAGCAUAAUCAUUAGUCUUUUAAUUGAAGGCUUGUAUGAAUGGUUGGACAAAAAGUAAGCUGUCUCGGUUAUAAUAAUUGAAUUUAACUUUUAAGUGAAAAGGCUUAAAUGGAUUAAGGGGACGAUAAGACCCUAUAAAGCUUGACAAUAAGUUAAUUAUAUUAUAAAUUGUUAGUAUAACUUGAUUUUAAUUGACGUUUGUUACGUUGGGGCGACGAGAAUAUAAUGAGUAACUGUUCUUAAAUGUUUAAUGACAAAUAUAAUUGGUAUUUGAUUGAUCCUUUACUAAAGAUUAAAAGAUUAAGUUACUUUAGGGAUAACAGCGUAAUCUUCUUUGAGAGUUCAUAUCGACAAGAAGGUUUGCGACCUCGAUGUUGAAUUAAGGA